rnacentral:rRNA from 1 species
AGAGUUUGAUCAUGGCUCAGAACGAACGCUGGCGGCAUGCUUAACACAUGCAAGUCGAACGCAAGGCUUCGGCCUUGAGUGGCGCACGGGUGAGUAGCGCGUGGGAACCUGCCCUGUCGUGGGGGAUAACCGAGGGAAACUUCGGCUAAUACCGCAUAAGCCGGGAGACCGGGAAAGAUUUAUCGCGAUAGGAGGGGCCCGCGUCGGAUUAGCUUGUUGGUGGGGUAACGGCCUACCAAGGCUUUGAUCCGUAGCUGGUCUGAGAGGAUGAUCAGCCACACUGGGACUGAGACACGGCCCAGACUCCUACGGGAGGCAGCAGUGGGGAAUAUUGGACAAUGGGCGCAAGCCUGAUCCAGCAAUGCCGCGUGAGUGAGGAAGGCCUUCGGGUUGUAAAGCUCUUUCGCACGCGACGAUGAUGACGGUAGCGUGAGAAGAAGCCCCGGCUAACUUCGUGCCAGCAGCCGCGGUAAUACGAAGGGGGCGAGCGUUGUUCGGAUUUACUGGGCGUAAAGGGCGCGCAGGCGGCGAGUUUUGUCAGGCGUGAAAGCCCCGGGCUCAACCUGGGAACUGCGCUUGAAACGGGCUUGCUGGAGACCGGGAGAGGAGAGUGGAAUUCCCAGUGUAGAGGUGAAAUUCGUAGAUAUUGGGAAGAACACCGGUGGCGAAGGCGGCUCUCUGGACCGGAUCUGACGCUGAGGCGCGAAAGCGUGGGGAGCAAACAGGAUUAGAUACCCCCGUAGUCC